UCACGAAGAACUCCGAUUGCGANGGCAGCUUGCUGGACUGUAACUGACGCUGAGNCACGAAAGCGUGGGGAUCAAACAGGAUUAGAUACCCUGGUAGUCCACGCCGUAAACGAUGAAUGCUAGCUGUUAGCGAUAUACUGUUAGCGGCACAGAGAAAUCGUUAAGCAUUCCACCUGGGGAGUACGCCGGCAACGGUGAAACUCAAAGGAAUUGACGGGGGCCCGCACAAGCGGAGGAACAUGUGGUUUAAUUCGAUGAUACGCGAGGAACCUUACCUGGGCUUAAAUUGCAGUGGAAUAACGUGGAAACAUGUUAGCCUUCGGGCCGCUGUGAAGGCGCUGCAUGGUUGUCGUCAGCUCGUGCCGUGAGGUGUCGGCUUAAGUGCCAUAACGAGCGCAACCCUCAUCGAUAGUUACUAACAGGUUAAGCUGAGGACUCUAUCGAGACUGCCGACGUAAGUCGUGAGGAAGGUGGGGAUGACGUCAAAUCAGCACGGCCCUUACGUCCAGGGCUACACACGUGUUACAAUGGGGGGUACAAAGGGCAGCUACCUGGCGACAGGAUGCUAAUCUCAAAAACCUCUCUCAGUUCGGAUUGGAGUCUGCAACCCGACUCCAUGAAGCUGGAUUCGCUAGUAAUCGCGCAUCAGCCACGGCGCGGUGAAUACGUUCCCGGGCCUUGUACACACCGCCCGUCAAGCCAUGGGAGCCGGGGGGACCUGAAGUAUGCAACCGUAAGGAGCGUCCUAGGGUAAAACUGGUGACUGGGGCU
rnacentral:rRNA from 1 species